rnacentral:rRNA from 1 species
UUGAACGCUGGCGGCAGGCCUAACACAUGCAAGUCGAGCGGAUGAAGGGAGCUUGCUCCUGGAUUCAGCGGCGGACGGGUGAGUGAUGCCUAGGAAUCUGCCUGGUAGUGGGGGAUAACGUCCGGAAACGGGCGCUAAUACCGCAUACGUCCUGAGGGAGAAAGUGGGGGAUCUUCGGACCUCACGCUAUCAGAUGAGCCUAGGUCGGAUUAGCUAGUUGGUGGGGUAAAGGCCUACCAAGGCGACGAUCCGUAACUGGUCUGAGAGGAUGAUCAGUCACACUGGAACUGAGACACGGUCCAGACUCCUACGGGAGGCAGCAGUGGGGAAUAUUGGACAAUGGGCGAAAGCCUGAUCCAGCCAUGCCGCGUGUGUGAAGAAGGUCUUCGGAUUGUAAAGCACUUUAAGUUGGGAGGAAGGGCAGUAAGUUAAUACCUUGCUGUUUUGACGUUACCAACAGAAUAAGCACCGGCUAACUUCGUG